AGCAGUCGCCGCGGUAAUACGAAGGGUGCAAGCGCUACUCGGAAUUACCGGGCGUAAAGCGUGCGUAGGUGGUGGUUUAAGUCCGUUGUGAAAGCCCUGGGCUCAACCUGGGAAUUGCAGUGGAUACUGGGUCACUAGAGUGUGGUAGAGGAUAGUGGAAUUUCCGGUGUAGCAGUGAAAUGCGUAGAGAUCGGAAGGAACAUCUGUGGCGAAGGCGACUAUCUGGGCCAACACUGACACUGAGGCACGAAAGCGUGGGGAGCAAACAGGAUUAGAUACCCCCGUAGUCCCUGUCUCUUAUAC
rnacentral:rRNA from 1 species